rnacentral:rRNA from 1 species
AAUCAACGCUGGCGGCGUGCCUCAGACAUGCAAGUCGAACGAUUAAACUUUCCUUCGGGAAAGAUAUAAAGUGGCGCACGGGUGAGUAACACGUAGGUAAUGUACCUUUGGGUGGGGAAUAACCAUCGGAAACGAUGGCUAAUACCGCAUAAUGCAGCGGCAUCGCAAGAUGACAGUUGUUAAAGAUUUAUCGCCUAAAGAGCAGCCUGCGGCAGAUUAGGUAGNGGUAAGGUAAUGGCUUACCAAGCCUGCGAUCUGUAACCGACUGAGAGGGUGGUCGGUCACACUGACACUGAAUAACGGGUCAGACUCCUACGGGAGGCAGCAGUCGGGAAUUUGGGCAAUGGGCGAAAGCCUGACCCAGCAACGCCGCGUGAA